CAGAGAGCCAGAUGUGGGGCUCAAUUCCAGGACCCUGAGAUCAUGACCUGCGCCAAAGGCAGAGGCUUAACCCACUGAGCCACCCAGGCGCCCCUCAGCUACUUUUUACACCCGAAAAGUUUAGAGCUAAGAGUGUGCUGAGGGAGAGUGACCACGUGCAAGCAGGGGAGGAGGAGGAGCAGAGGGAGAGGGAGAAUCUUAAUUUAAGCAUGAAGCCCAACACAGAACUUGAUUUCAUGACCUUGAGAUCAUGAGCUGAACUGAAAUCAAGAAUUGGACACUUAGCCAACUGAGCCACUCAGACAUCUUCCUACUACUCUACUGCUAAAGAAUUAAAUUUAAUGAAGUGCUACAGGUGAAAUUCUUACCACUAUUGUUAACAAAUUGGUGUCAUAUCCAAAAAUUCGUUACCAAGACUCAUGCCAGGAGCCUUAUUCCAGUGUUUUCUUCUAAGAAUUUCAUGGUCUCAGGUCUUCACAUGGUCCAUCGUACAUAAUAACGAAUAGGAAUCACAAGUGUGUAGAGGACAUGAAGGAAGGCAAAUCCCAGUGCCACCAAGCCAAGCUGCUUUCUGCAGAGCAUCCACUGGUCAAGCCAGUCUGGGAAUCGGCGGUAUUUUGUCCCUCGGUACAGUUGCAGAAUGGCAGCAAUAACACCAGGGAGGUAAACCAAGGCAAGCAAUGUAAGUGCUGCUAUCGGAAAGAUCCGAUUUGGAAUGGAAAUAGCCAAGCGAAAUGUGCUGUCUUGAUUGCCAUUAGCGUAAGGGUAGAGUACGUCUCUUAUAACGCAGUAGCAAAAGAAGAAGACACACAGAAUAGCAGACAAAUAGAAGGGGAGCUUCCACAUUGGAAAUAGUUGCAGGGGGUAGUUUUCAAUUUCUUUGGCUGCCAGGAGAGAUCCUUGAUCCAGUGGAGUAAGUCCAAGAGUACGAACAACAUCUAUCACUCUUUGCUUGGCUUUGCUGUCGUUUCCACAGACAAACACCUGGGUUAAGAAUAAUCAAUUAAUAAAUAAUGAAAUAAUAUUUACUCUUUACUUUGGGCAUUACUUUGAAAGUCUGUGUAAGCACCAUGCCAAACAAGAAAAUAAGAACAUGCUUUUCAGACAAGGGCAUGGACACAGUAUGUUUUAAACUUGGACAAAUGUGCUAGAUGGUUAAGUACUAGGGUUCAAGUUGAGAGUGGUUCUAAGCAUAUCACACUGAUACCAUAGGACUUGGUUCUCCACAGGGUGAAUGGUUUUUCUUCUGUAUUCAUGGGUGCUAGAACACUUACAGAUUAUGUUUAAUCUCCAUGAAUAAAUGGAAUCAGUUUCAUAUAGUGUUAUAGGAAUGGAAAGGUUAUCCAUCAACAGUGUUAUUUUUUAGUACGUGCAUGGAACCUGACGUCAUUGGAUUCCAUCAAACUAGAAACUGAGAGUGCUGACAAUGAGGAAUAAAUCACAACAUCGACGACUUUACUUGGUUAAACCCAAGAAAAUUAUCUGCAGCACAUAUUAGCAAAUGGAAAUGUUUAGUUGGUGUUUUAUUUUGGAAUUCUGUUUUGGCAUCUUUGAGACCUCAGUUCUGUAACAGGAAGCAUAACAAGAGUACCUCUGGACUGGAAAAUCUCCAGGACCGAUUUUGCGUCUCCUAGAGAGGCUGGUGGAGACUGUGGGGCCAACACAGAGACCCUAUUCAUCAUUCCUCUUAGUAAGAAGAACAGGAAUCAACAACCCAACCAUGCCACUUCUGAACGAUCUCAGUGCAUCUGUUGGGAUAAAUGAAGACUGUAUUCUGAUUUCCUGGCCAAGAAUUUUAUCAUGGGCUGUUUUCUGUGCAGUCUCAGGUCUCGACCACUCCUCCCCCUUCUCCAAGGCCUCUCCUUACAGUGCAUCACACAUCAUCAAAGGCGGCCGGCUCUCGAGAUGAAUAAAUGAAAAUUUGAAAAAAAGACUUAAAAGAAGUCACUGAGAAAAGUUCGAAUCUACGGAAGUCAGUCACAACUGCUUGCUUCUGAGUUUCAGAGUCUAAUAUCCUCAAGGUCUUGUCUCUCCAUCCUGCAACCCAGCUUGGGAUUACUCUUACCAGUUCUCACUGCCAUCUUGCUUGGGUUGCAGCCACUAGAACCACCUGGCUUUCUACUGCAGAGACCGUCCGUCUUCCUAAAGGCUCAAGGCCCUCAUCACCUGAUCCCAUAGCAGCAAAGAUGGCCUUUGAGCAUUCAUCAGUCUUACCUACAAUGUGUGUGGAUAGAAAGGACUAUGCAGGGACUCUACAUACUGUACCAUCUAUCAAAAGAUCAAGACUGGCAAUUGGAACACUGAGUUCUAUUCUUGGACUUGCCCUUAUCUUGCUAAUACUGAGGCCCUCGCUGUGGAUGGAUCAGCAUCCUUCAGAUGGAACAUACUAGAGUCCAACUCUUUUUCUGGAAUGAGGCUACCUGCCUAUGAACCUGGAAGCAGUGAUUUGUUUUUGAAAGAUGCUUAUGGACAUCACACAAUCCCAUUUUACCAAGGCGCUCGUACAGGUGCGUUCUCCAACUCCUCUUCUGAUUUCUAUUACAAUGACCCUGGGUUAUCCUUUAGGUUAAGCAAUUUCUUGUGCCAUGGCAGCAGGUCAAAUUGUAAACUCAGUUUUGAAAAAACUCAGAGAAAGAUAAAUGUGAUGUGAUUUCACUUAUAAGCAGAAUUUAAGAAACAAAACAAACGAACACAGAAAAAAGAAAAACCACACUGUUAACU